UCUUUUGUGAGUUUGGGAACACA
rnacentral:piRNA from 1 species